rnacentral:rRNA from 1 species
CAGUCGCCACGGUAAUACGUAGGUGGCAAGCGUUGUCCGGAUUUAUUGGGCGUAAAGCGAGCGCAGGCGGUCAAUUAAGUCUGAUGUGAAAGUCCCCGGCUCAACCGGGGAGGGUCAUUGAAAACUGGUUGACUUGAGUGCAGAAGAGGAGAGUGGAAUUCCAUGUGUAGCGGUGAAAUGCGUAGAUAUAUGGAGGAACACCAGUGGCGAAGGCGACUCUCUGGUCUGUAACUGACGCUGAGGCUCGAAAGCGUGGGUAGCAAACAGGAUUAGAUACCCCCGUAGUCCCUGUCUCUUAUAC